rnacentral:rRNA from 1 species
ACGGAGAGUUUCAUCCUGGCUCAGAGUGAACGCUGGCGGCGUGCCUAAUACAUGCAAGUCGAACGAUGAAGCUUCUAGCUUGCUAGAGUGCUGAUUAGUGGCGCACGGGUGAGUAACGCAUAGGUCAUGUGCCUCUUAGUUUGGGAUAGCCAUUGGAAACGAUGAUUAAUACCAGAUACUCCCUACGGGGGAAAGAUUUAUCGCUAAGAGAUCAGCCUAUGUCCUAUCAGCUUGUUGGUAAGGUAAUGGCUUACCAAGGCUAUGACGGGUAUCCGGCCUGAGAGGGUGAACGGACACACUGGAACUGAGACACGGUCCAGACUCCUACGGGAGGCAGCAGUAGGGAAUAUUGCUCAAUGGGGGAAACCCUGAAGCAGCAACGCCGCGUGGAGGAUGAAGGUUUUAGGAUUGUAAACUCCUUUUGUUAGAGAAGAUAAUGACGGUAUCUAACGAAUAAGCACCGGCUAACUCCGUGCCAGCAGCCGCGGUAAUACGGAGGGUGCAAGCGUUACUCGGAAUCACUGGGCGUAAAGAGCGCGUAGGCGGGAUAGUCAGUCAGGUGUGAAAUCCUAUGGCUUAACCAUAGAACUGCAUUUGAAACUACUAUUCUAGAGUGUGGGAGAGGUAGGUGGAAUUCUUGGUGUAGGGGUAAAAUCCGUAGAGAUCAAGAGGAAUACUCAUUGCGAAGGCGACCUGCUGGAACAUUACUGACGCUGAUUGCGCGAAAGCGUGGGGAGCAAACAGGAUUAGAUACCCUGGUAGUCCACGCCCUAAACGAUGGAUGCUAGUUGUUGGAGGGCUUAGUCUCUCCAGUAAUGCAGCUAACGCAUUAAGCAUCCCGCCUGGGGAGUACGGUCGCAAGAUUAAAACUCAAAGGAAUAGACGGGGACCCGCACAAGCGGUGGAGCAUGUGGUUUAAUUCGAAGAUACACGAAGAACCUUACCUAGGCUUGACAUUGAGAGAAUCCGCUAGAAAUAGUGGAGUGUCUGGCUUGCUAGACCUUGAAAACAGGUGCUGCACGGCUGUCGUCAGCUCGUGUCGUGAGAUGUUGGGUUAAGUCCCGCAACGAGCGCAACCCCCUUUCUUAGUUGCUAACAGGUUAUGCUGAGAACUCUAAGGAUACUGCCUCCGUAAGGAGGAGGAAGGUGGGGACGACGUCAAGUCAUCAUGGCCCUUACGCCUAGGGCUACACACGUGCUACAAUGGGGUGCACAAAGAGAAGCAAUACUGUGAAGUGGAGCCAAUCUUCAAAACACCUCUCAGUUCGGAUUGUAGGCUGCAACUCGCCUGCAUGAAGCUGGAAUCGCUAGUAAUCGCAAAUCAGCCAUGUUGCGGUGAAUACGUUCCCGGGUCUUGUACUCACCGCCCGUCACACCAUGGGAGUUGUGUUUGCCUUAAGUCAGGAUGCUAAAUUGGCUACUGCCCACGGCACACACAGCGACUGGGGUGAAGUCGUAACAAGGUAACCGUAGGUGAACCUGCGGCUGAUCA